rnacentral:rRNA from 1 species
UACGUAGGCUGUUAUUUAAGUCAGAUGUGAAAGCCCCGGGCUUAACCUGGGAACUGCAUUUGAUACUGGGUAACUAGAGUCUGGUAGAGGGUAGUGGAAUUCCACGUGUAGCGGUGAAAUGCGUAGAUAUGUGGAGGAACAUCAGUGGCGAAGGCGACUGCCCGGACCAAGACUGACGCUGAGGUACGAAAGCGUGGGGAGCAAACA